rnacentral:rRNA from 1 species
AUGGAGCGCGCAGCCAGAGAUCUGCGCAUAUGGAGCAGGUUGCUCUUUGGAGAUGCCAAGCUCCAAUUCCACAUCGCCUGUGAAGUGAUCCUACGCCUCGACGUCGCGCAGGAGCGGUGUCAGCCCACGCCGGCGGAGGCCGAGCUCCGGAAAGGGCUGAAGCUCAGGCUGCUCGGUCUGGCUGCGAUCGAGCACUGCAGAAAGAUGCAGGCUUCAAGGCUGACCUGGCUGCGCUCGGGGGACGCAACGACCAAGUUCUUCAUGGCCAAGAUCAACUCCAGAAGACGCAAAAACUUUAUACAUGCCCUGAAGAUCAACGGCUCCAUCACCACCGCCCACGAAGAAAAAGCUGAAGCCAUCCAUGAUCACUUUAGCGACAUCCUCGGAGCCACCCAACACCGCCCCACCUCGAUCAACUGGAGUCAGCUCCGGAUGCCCCAAGUGCAGGGAGGGGGUCUCGACAACCCCUUCACAGAAGAAGAAGUUUGGGCAGCGAUCAAGGCCUCUCCGCGGAAAAAUCGCCUGGACCGAACGGUUUCUCCGGCACUUUCUUCAAAUCCUGCUGGCCCAUCAUCAAAGAAGAUAUCAUGCUGGUGUUCAACCAAUUCUACAACCUAG